AACGAACGCAGGCGGCAUGCCUAACACAUGCAAGUCGAACGAGACCUUCGGGUCUAGUGGCGCACGGGUGCGUAACGCGUGGGAAUCUGCCCUUGGGUUCGGAAUAACAGUUAGAAAUGACUGCUAAUACCGGAUAAUGUCUUCGGACCAAAGAUUUAUCGCCCAGGGAUGAGCCCGCGUAGGAUUAGCUAGUUGGUGAGGUAAAGGCUCACCAAGGCGACGAUCCUUAGCUGGUCUGAGAGGAUGAUCAGCCACACUGGGACUGAGACACGGCCCAGACUCCUACGGGAGGCAGCAGUGGGGAAUAUUGGACAAUGGGCGAAAGCCUGAUCCAGCAAUGCCGCGUGAGUGAUGAAGGCCUUAGGGUUGUAAAGCUCUUUUACCCGGGAUGAUAAUGACAGUACCGGGAGAAUAAGCCCCGGCUAACUCCGUGCCAGCAGCCGCGGUAAU
rnacentral:rRNA from 1 species